GAUGAACGCUGGCGGCGUGCUUAAUACAUGCAAGUCGAGCGCAAGGACGCGAAGCUUGCUUCUCUGAUGUUAGCAGCGGCCGGGUGAGUAACACGUGGAUCACCUACCUAACAGUCUGGUAUAACUUCGUGAAACCGUAUCUAAUCCCGGAUAAUAUUUUGAACCGCAUGGUUCAAAAGUGAAAUACGGUCUUGCUGUCACUUAUAGAUGUAUCCGCGCUGCAUUAUCUAGUUGGUAAGUUAUCGGCUUACCAAGGCAACGAUGCAUAGCCGACCUGAGAGGGGGAUAGGCCACACUGGAACAGGAACAGGGUCCAGACUCCUACGGGAGGCAGCAGUAGGGAAUCGUGCGAAAUGGGCGAAAGCCUGACGGAGCGAGGCAGCGUGAGUGAUAAAGGUCUUCGGAGCGUAAAGCUGUGUUAUGAGUGAAGAACAGAUGUGUAAGUAGCUGUACACAUCGUGACGGUACCUAGUAAGAAAGCCACGGCUAACUACGUG
rnacentral:rRNA from 1 species